UUUGUAGGGGAAGAUAAUGACUGUACCCUAGAAUAAGGUCCGGCUAACUUCGUGCCAGCAGCCGCGGUAAUACGAAGGGGACCUAAGCGUAGUUCGGGAAUUACUGGGCGUAAAGCGCGCGUAGGCCGUUGAGUUAGUUAAUUUGAAAUCCCCAAAAGCUUAACUUUGGAACUGCAAUUAAAACUGCUCCGGAACCCUAAGAGUUUGAUAGAAGGAAAAGCGGAAAUACAUAGUGUAGAGGUGAAAUUCGUAGAUAUUAUGUAGAACACCAGUUGCGAAGGCGGCUUUCUGGGUCAACACUGACGCUGAGGCGCGAAAGUAUGGGUAGCAAAGAGNG
rnacentral:rRNA from 1 species